CAAUGUUUCAAUGAAGUGCAGAUUUCACUCGUGACAAGGUAAAAUGAAUGGCUGUUUUCAGAGUGCAAAGAUCUCAUCGAGCGAUAUGGUGUUUGACACGCAGUUUCAUAUUGUUGUUGGGUCGGAGAUGCAAGACUUUCCGCAAUGGGAGAGGACUUGGAGAGAAAACCAUGUGAGCUUCGUGAGGCCAGCCAGUUGACCGCCACGUUAGAGGCGGCACGGCGUGCGCGGACAAAUGCUCUUGGCAAUGGCGCGCUUGUGCACUUCUCGCCCGGAAAACAGGAUCAUCAUCUCGAUGAGUACUCUUGCCAACGGGGCGUUCUGUUUCCACUGCCGCGUUCUCGAUCAGAUGUGCUUGUCCCUUGGGAGCAAGAGGGAGAAAUGGAGUGGCUGUCGAAUGUGAAUUGUAUAUCUUGGUGCAGAUGUCGAGGUUCACUCUUGCAUUUCAGGGUUUAUACAUGAAUUCAUCCAGGCCAAAACGUUUUGGAGCAGCCAUGACUCUUGCGUCCAAUGCAGCCAAUUAAGUAAACAUGACUCUUCAUGGUGAAACUUGACUCAUUUCAUGAAAACCGCUAAAGAGUUGAAUAGAUUCUGAUGGGGGCCGAAAACACGUCAGUGGUUGGGGUCGAGAAGCCCAAGGCAAGGCUCUUUGCUGCUGUCUUACCAAGUAUCUGGUUUAUCAAGCUUAGGUCCAUUCGUAGAAGAUCACGUAGAUUAAACGCGACUGACAAUAAUGAGCCUGUGAUUCCUGAUAAUGCGCCCUUUCUUCCCAAAAGCGUUGAGAACUGCUACAAGAAUGGAAUGAUAUCUGAAGAAUGUAUCUUCAGUCCUCUUGAAGGUUCACACACCACAACCGCAAAUGAUUCUACCAUCUCCAGUUCAUGUCCUAAAAACAAUGAAGCUAGAUCUGUCCCCAUCUCUUCCACUCUUAGCAGAAAAAGUAUCGCUCGCCCUGAAGGAACCCCAAGCAGGCAAAGUAUCACUCGCUCGGAAGGGUCUGCGGGGACUUCUAGGUCAACCCCAGUGACUUCCAUCGCAACCACUACAUCUUCUACAACUUCUAGUAUAUUCUCCAGAUGCAUGUACAGAUCCACGUUUUUCUCAGGGCUUAGAGGAUUGUGCAAGCUGGUGGAUGAUGCUACUCUUUCGAAGGAAAGCAAUUCGGUGCAAUUUCGAAAACCCUUGACACCAACGAUAAGGACAUGGUUCUUGGUGGGCUGCGGCGGAACCCCCUGCCCACGUACUCGACACAGCAGCCUGGAUCUGGAGAGAGAGUCUGGUUUGAUGGACUUGGACGGGGAACCAGGGCUAGAUUGUAUCGAUGAAGGAAUGGGAGUUGAUGGUUCCUGGCCCAAAAAACCUGAGUCAUGGUCGGCAGGCAAACCAACGGCGUGGAGUGUUGAUCUUGAUAAUGAGGAGGUAGUCAAGAACCAAGUUGUCGAAAAGAGAAAGAGAUAUGCUAAGAACAGGCAGAGGUCUCCAGUGAAACCCCCAAUGAAGGUGAAAUCUCCGGUGAAGGUGAAGAGGAGGUCUAAACCCACGCUUGGUCACUUGUUUUCCACAAGGUCCGACACGGACUCCCCGAGGAAGGGCUUCCCUGAGACGGAAGAAGAGUCUGAGAUUCAUAUUGAGCAUCCCAACCUAGUUACUCUUCCUUGGGGAUCAGCGUCUUCGGGAAGCGAUAGCACCUUCAGAGUGCCUUCGGUGGGUUCAGAGUAUGGAUUGGCGCUGUCACAGCGGAGGCCGUUCUCCUUCUCAGGAUCAGAGACCCCGGCUUACAAUGACGAAUUCGAUAAUGGUAACAUCUCCGACAGCCAGAGCUUGCUGAGGGCAAAGGUGCUUGCAGCGGAGCGGCUGCGUGAUGACUCGAAGUCGUGGAGGGAGCAACGGAAGAUGGAUAGGAAGUACAAGGAUGAAGAGGCAAUGAAGCUUCUUGCUUCUCUUGAUCAAGCUUUGGAUCAGCGGAAUUUGAAGAGGUUGAUUGAGGAUGCAGAGGACAGCGAUCCUGGUUAUGCAUCCAUGUUCGGAAGUCCCAGAUUCGAGCUCCACAACUCGCCCGUGUUCGAGAGCUUUCUCGAAUCUUCCGCCAAGGCAUGGGGAAUCGAUUUUCCUAAUCUCAAAAUGGACGAAGCUAAGACUUCAGGUAAUAUCAGUGAUAAAAGUAGAGAGCUGCAUUGUGUCACUGUCCAGACGGCGACUCAAGUGCGUGACCGGGACAACAGAGCGAGAGAGGCUGCCCGUAGCGUGCGAGUUAAUUCUUCCUCGCCUGUGAAGGCACGGAAGACGAGGCGUGCUCUGGAAAAGGAAGCCCCCAAGAGGUUACCUCCUUCGAGAAAGACCUCCUCAAGAAACCUCCAUGCAUCCCCACCAGGAGGAGAUGCCUCUAAGGACAGUCGCGACCAUAGAACCAUCCAUCCACAACGUGAGGAGAGUAUGGUGGAUCCGGAGCUCUGUGAAGAAUUCAAUUACCAUAGAAGGGAUUUUUACGAAACAAGAAAGCGGACCAAGCAGCGACGGCCAAAGCAAGUGGCUUCCGUUAAUACUACGCCGCAUGUUCCAGCCCCAGCUCCCAAGCUCCAGUCUAAUGUCAGCAAGGAAAGAGUAGCUGUUGUGGUUGAAAGCUCUUACGAUCCUUACAACGAUUUCCGCGAGUCCAUGAUAGAGAUGAUUGUUGAUCAAGAUAUUCAGGAGACCUGCGAUUUGGAGGAACUUCUGCAGUGUUAUCUGUCACUGAAUGAGGCGGAGUAUCAUAAUGUCAUUGUGGAUGUCUUCACGGACGUAUGGCAUGAGCUUUUCGAGAACAAAUUCUAGAAACUCCUGGAAAGGGAGGAUGCAAAUACUGUCCCAUUUACAGUAGGAUUUGCUUCUCCUUAAUAGGUGCAACCCUAAGCAUGCGGGAGGAGUCCUCACUGCCAUAAAUCAGAGGUUGAAAAGGACUACCCUCUUGAUGCAGCAUGAAUCAACUUCACAGAAAUCUGUUCGCAUGCUAGUUCAACUCUGGACAUUCACAUAUUUGCCGACAAGAAAGCUGAGUCCUUUACUGUUGAAUGAACACAUGCUAGGACUAAGCAUCAUGUGCGGAAGGCCAUCAGACAACUGGAAGUGGUAGUUGGGUCCACUUCCGAGGACAGGCAGACAGACACGUAGAGGACUCUCAAUUUCUUACACUGGUUUUUCAGUGUCGAGUUGUGUGUGAGACUGUGAAACUAGGUUCUAAAGCAGAUGAAAGGUGAAUCUUAAGCGGUGGGUAUAUUUUCGUGUAUGAGGGGAGAUUCUGAAGGCAACAGAAAACACAGAUCAGGUAGAUAGCUAGACACUCGGAGUGGGUGGACGACCAUGACCGCAUCAGGUUGUGGUUUUCGAAACGCAGAUAUAUUUGAGUAUCAUUAAAGCUUCUGGAGGUCGUGAGCUUCGAGCCCAGAUUGCGUUAUUACAGGUGGAUUUACGUGCCCUAGCACAUUCAAAGAAUUCUCCAUCAUGUACGAGGCUUCCAACACAUGAAGUACGGUGAAGCACAUCAGGAAAUAGAAAAGAAAAGCGGGUGUUAAUGCAGACUGAAUUAACAGGUUGCAUUUGAUAGUGUAGGCACCCUCUCGUGGUCUCAAUAGGAGAAAGUUACGCAUUUUACGUUCACAGAACAAAGUUUUGGCGAUCACCGUCUGAGCCACUCCAGCAUCAGAAGGAUUUCGCACAGGCGGAAUUAUUUCAGUAAUUAAUCAUUGUUGAUAAGAAUGAGAGGCCAGCAUGUCAACGAUUCUUGAUGCUUCAUCUCAAACGUAAUAUACAACGUGCUAUUUCCGCAA